rnacentral:rRNA from 1 species
GAUGAACGCUAGCUACAGGCUUAACACAUGCAAGUCGAGGGGCAGCACAAGGCAGCAAUGCUGAGGUGGCGACCGGCGCACGGGUGCGUAACGCGUAUCCAACCUUCCCGUUACUCUUGGAUAGCCUUCCGAAAGGGAGAUUAAUACAAGAUGGUGUUGAAAUUCCGCAUGUUAUUUCAACUAAAGAUUUAUCGGUAACGGAUGGGGAUGCGUGACAUUAGAUGGAUGGCGGGGUAACGGCCCACCGUGUCCACGAUGUCUAGGGGUUCUGAGAGGAAGGUCCCCCACACUGGAACUGAGACACGGUCCAGACUCCUACGGGAGGCAGCAGUGAGGAAUAUUGGUCAAUGGCCGGAAGGCUGAGCCAGCCAAGUAGCGUGAAGGAUGAAGGUUCUAUGGAUUGUAAACUUCUUUUAUGAGGGAAUAAAACCUCCCACGUGUGGGAGCUUGUAUGUACCUUAUGAAUAAGCAUCGGCUAACUCCGUGCCAGCCGCCGCAGUAAUAC